CCUGGAACAACUUCACUGUAUCUUCCUUUGUUACCCAGUGCUGGAUUCCAACACGAGAUUUGCACCUAUGACAAUGUCCCACACGAUAACCAGGGCGCUCCAAGACAACAUAUAAAGCCAUACCAUGAAUACCAGUUGAUGGGUCGUACUUGUAAAGAAUAGUGAAUAAACCCAAUGUAAAUGAACUUAUAAACAGCCUCGUUUAAAAAGCCUUUAAGAAUACUGUAGUUGAUUAUCCUUGUGAAUAUCUGUUUUAACAAAUCAGUUUUGCACAUAACAUAGUGCAACGAACUAUCCAACGAAACAAGGGUUUUUGGGAACCUGCAAAAAGAUCUAAUGACAAGAAACAGUAAGCCACCUUAAUUAUCCACAUGAAGUAAAAAUUCAAAGCAACUAACGAUUUAAUGCAAAUUAGAUUCCGCAUCAUUGCAUUCAGGGCGUGUGGACAGGGGGGAUAGAAUGUGAAGUCAGAUGUUCUAAUCCAAAUAAAUAUACAAAUAUAUCUC
rnacentral:lncRNA from 1 species